AACGCACAUUGCACUCCUUGGUAUUCCGAGGAGUACGCCUGUUCGAGCGUCAUUACACUCUCAAGCGCUGCUUGGAUUUGAAUCACUGUCGCGGCAGGAUUCCAAUAGUGUCGGCAAUUGACCAUCUGUGAUGACUCACUCCGAGUUGAUUCGCCUACUCACCUUUUCAAGUUGACCUCGGAUCAGGCGGGGAUACCCGCUGAACUUAA
rnacentral:misc_RNA from 1 species